rfam:Capsicum annuum cultivar Zunla-1 chromosome 2, whole genome shotgun sequence
AAGCUGCCAGGUGUCGUUGGUUGUAAUAGCUAUAACUGCCUUGCGCUGUAUUUAUAUGUUCUUACUUGAGAUAGUAAAAGGGAAAAAAACAAGGAGUGAGAGUGUUGUAUGCCUUUCCACAAUUUUGUGUGACAUUUUCUUCGUAAUUCUGAGAGAAAAAUAAAUGUUGGGAAUAUGGUUCCUGUAUAUUGUUGUGUAAUUUACAUUUCUGUAAAGAUAGUCUAUUAUACAUAGGUUGGGCAGUGUGUUUUAUGGCUGAAGUUAUGUAGUGUGUGCGCGACUACCAAGUAGUGGUGUUGCAAAAAAGAGAAUGCCCUUGUAUCACCUACCAUGGUGGUGACGGGUGAUAAAGAAUUAGGGUUCGAUUCCAGGGAGGGAGCCUAAGAAACGUCUACAAUAUCUAAGGAAGGCAGUAGGCAUACAAAUUACCCAUUCUUGACACUGGGAGGUAGUGACAAUAAAUAAAAAUACUGGGCUUAAUAAGUCUUGUAAUUGGAAUGAGUAAAAUUUAAAUCCCUUAAUGAGGAUUUAUUGAACUGCAACUCUGGUGCCAGUAACUGCGGUAAUUCCAACUCUAAUAGUGUAUAUUUAAGUUGUUGCAGUUAAAAAUCUCAUAGUUGGACUUUGGGAUGGGUCGGCUGGUCCACAUAUGGUGAGCACCGAUCGUCUCGUCCCUUCUAUCGGCAAUGCAUUCCUGGACUUAACUGGAUAAAGCAAUCCUACACUCUAUAUACAUUAUCAUAGCAUAACAUUAUAGGAAAUCAGUCUUAUUACAUUGGCCAUCGGGAUCAGAGUAUUGAUUAAUAGGGACAGUCGGGGGCAUUUGUAUUUCAUAGUCAGACAUAAAAUUAAUGGAUUCAGGAAAGACGAAAAACUUUAAAAGCAUUUUCCAAGGAUGUUUUCAUUAACCAAGAACAAAAUUUGGGGGCUCGAAGACAAUCAGAUACCGUCCUAGUUUCAACCAUAAACGAUGCCGACCAGGGAUCAGUGGAUAUUGCUUUUACGACUCCUUCAACACCUUAUGAGAAAUCAAGUUUUUUGGGUUUCGGGAGGAGUAUGGUCGCAAGGCUAAAACUAAAGAAAUUUAUGAAAGGGAACCACCAGGAGUGGAGCCUAUGGCUUAAUUUUAUUCAAUAUGGAAAAACUUACAAGGUCCAAAAAUAUUAAGGAUUGACAGAGUGAGAAUUCUUUCUUGAUUCAUCUUAUCCUUUCUGUCAGCUAUGUGCUCCUGGCCUUAACUGGCUAGGUCAUGUCUCCGGUACUCUUACUUUGAAAAAAUUAGAGUGCUAAAAGAUAGCCUAGCUAUGCGGUGGUGGUUCAUGGCCGUUCUUAGUUGGUGGAGCGAUUUGUCUGGUUAAUUCCAUUAACGAACGAGGCCUCAGCCUGCUAACUAGCUAUGCAGAGGUAUCCCUUUGCGGCAAGCUUCAUAGAGGGACUACGACCUUUUGGGCAAUGGAAGUUUGAGGCAAUAACAGGUCUAUGAUGUCCUUAGAUAUUUUGGUCCGCAUAUGUGCUACGCUUAUGUAUUCAAUGAGUUUAUAGCCUUGGCCAAUAGGCUUGUGUGAUCUUUGAAACUUCAUCAUGAUGGGGAUAGAUCAUUGCAAUUAUUGGUCUUCAAAGAGGAAUUCCUAGUAAGUGUGACUCAUUAGCUCGCCUUGCGUACGUCCUUGCCCUUUGCACACAAUGGCCAUCGCUCCUACAAAUUGAAUGAUACGGUGAAAUAUUUGGAUCGUGGAAACAUGGGCGAUACGCUGCCUUUGACAUUACGAGAAGUCUAUUAAACUUUAUUAUUUAGAGGAAGGAGAAGUCUUAACACGGUUUCCGUAGGUGAACCUGUGGAAGGAUCAUUG